rnacentral:rRNA from 1 species
GAUGAACGCUGGCGGCGUGCUUAACACAUGCAAGUCGAACGAUGAAGCCCAGCUUGCUGGGUGGAUUAGUGGCGAACGGGUGAGUAACACGUGAGUAACCUGCCCUUGACUCUGGGAUAAGCCUGGGAAACUGGGUCUAAUACUGGAUAUGACUUCUCAUCGCAUGGUGGGGGGUGGAAAGAUUUAUUGGUCUUGGAUGGACUCGCGGCCUAUCAGCUUGUUGGUGAGGUAAUGGCUCACCAAGGCGACGACGGGUAGCCGGCCUGAGAGGGUGACCGGCCACACUGGACUGAGACACGGCCCAGACUCCUACGGGAGGCAGCAGUGGGGAAUAUUGCACAAUGGGCGCAAGCCUGAUGCAGCGACGCCGCGUGAGGGAUGACGGCCUUCGGGUUGUAAACCUCUUUCAGUAGGGAAGAAGCGAGAGUGACGGUACCUGCAGAAGAAGCGCCGGCUAACUACGUG